AAGGUAGCGCAAUCACUUGUUCUUUAAAUGAGGACUAGUAUGAACGGCAUCACGAGGAUUAUACUGUCUCCCCCCUUUAAUCAGUGAAACUGAUCCCCCCGUGAAGAAGCGGGAAUAAACAUAUAAGACGAGAAGACCCUAUGGAGCUUUAAACUCAACACCACUUAUCUAAAACACUCCAUAAUAAACAGAUAAGCUUGUGAACGUUUUAGGUUGGGGUGACCACGGAGUAAAAUUUAACCUCCACGUUGAAAGGCCUUAUCCUUAUCCAAGAGCCACAUCUCCAAGAAUCAACAAAUUGACAUUUAUUGACCCAAAUAUUUUUUGACCAACGAACCAAGUUACCCUAGGGAUAACAGCGCAAUCCAUUUCAAGAGCUCAUAUCGACAAAUGGGUUUACGACCUCGAUGUUGGAUCAGGGUAUCCCAGUGGUGCAGCCGCUACUA
rnacentral:rRNA from 1 species